GGAGGGAGUAGUAUUUUAAUGCUUACAACCUGCUGACUGUACCUUAUUGUACUUGCUUUGAGGGACUUUCCUCCUGGGAUUGGGAACGGAACCCCUCAAGCCGUUGGAUAGGCCUCGUGGGCUCAUCCUUAUGGGUGGUGCUGUCGUGCUCUGCUGGUCCUAGCAGGGGCUCUGGCUCGUCGCCCGCACCUUGCUCUCGCUGCACCCCAGUCGACCUUGUGAUACCUUCAUCACGAGCCCACUCCUUCAUCUUCUUUGGCGGGGAUCUCCUCCUACAUAAUAAAGUAUCAGGUCGAGAGUCACAAAAAACCAGUGGAUGGUGCGUGCGAGGUUAAGGCGCAGAGACUUACUCAUCAAGGGGGCACCACCGCCUCCUCCUUAGACCCAGUUCCGGCUGGCUAUAGUCGUGGCUUCCUUGAGACGUGCGGGCCUCCAGGGGGUGUGUCGGGCGGAGUGACCACACCGGACGGGGUGCUCACCAAGUCGGGGGCUCCCUCUUCGGGCGACGUAGGUCAGACGGUCCCGUGCAGUGCCUCCCUGGCGCGGCCAUUGCCGCCGCCGCCCCUCCCCCCUGCCAUUUGUUGCUGCAGGGCCAGCAAGGGAGCCAACGCAUCGUCUACAAUCGCCAUCUCGACAGCCUUGCCACCGUAGGAGACCGGCAGCACCUGUAUCGGAUUGUCACAGGGGUCCGUAUGACCGACGGGUACUAGUCCCCACUUGUCCAAUUGCGGCAUAUGCCCG
rnacentral:lncRNA from 1 species